GGCGGAUGUAGCCAAGGGGAUCA
rnacentral:tRNA from 1 species